UGCUGACGAGUCUCAAACAGGACGAAACAGCUGUCCA
rnacentral:hammerhead_ribozyme from 1 species